UCUAUCCUUAGAAGUAUUAUAGGUGUGGCUGCUGUGUCACAUAUGCAUCCUUAGGUGGCAGACAGAAGGGAUGCUGUCUUUGUUUACCGUUCUGACCUCUGAACAUCUGAAUGAUUAGUAACCUAAAAUU